rnacentral:rRNA from 1 species
AUUGAACGCUGGCGGCAUGCUUUACACAUGCAAGUCGAACGGUAACAGGGUGCUUGCACCGCUGACGAGUUGCGAACGGGUGAGUAAUGCGUCGGAACGUGCCGAGUAGUGGGGGAUAACGCAGCGAAAGUUGUGCUAAUACCGCAUACGUACUGAGGUAGAAAGUGGGGGACCUUCGGGCCUCAUUCUACUCGAGCGUCCGACGUCUGAUUAGCUAGUAGGUGAGGUAAAGGCUCACCUAGGCGACGAUCAGUAGCGGGUCUGAGAGGAUGGUCCGCCACACUGGGACUGAGACACGGCCCAGACUCCUACGGGAGGCAGCAGUGGGGAAAUGUGGACAAUGGGCGAAAGCCUGAUCCAGCCAUGCCGCGUGUCUGAAGAAGGCCUUCGGGUUGUAAAGGACUUUUGUCGGGGAGGAAAUCCCCAGCGUUAAUACCGCUGGGGGAUGACAGUACCUGAAGAAUAAGCACCGGCUAACUACGUGCCAGCAGCCGCAGUAAUAC